rnacentral:rRNA from 1 species
GAUGAACGCUGGCGGCGUGCCUAAUACAUGCAAGUCGAGCGAACGGACGAGAAGCUUGCUUCUCUGAUGUUAGCGGCGGACGGGUGAGUAACACGUGGAUAACCUACCUAUAAGACUGGGAUAACUUCGGGAAACCGGAGCUAAUACCGGAUAAUAUUUUGAACCGCAUGGUUCAAAAGUGAAAGACGGUCUUGCUGUCACUUAUAGAUGGAUCCGCGCUGCAUUAGCUAGUUGGGAAGGUAACGGCUUACCAAGGCAACGAUGCAUAGCCGACCUGAGAGGGUGAUCGCCCACACUGGAACGGAGACACGGUCCAGACUCCUACGGGAGGCAGCAGUAGGGAAUCUUCCGCAAUGGGCGAAAGCCUGACGGAGCAACGCCGCGUGAGUGAUGAAGGUCUUCGGAUCGUAAAACUCUGUUAUUAGGGAAGAACAUAUGUGUAAGUAACUGUGCACAUCUUGACGGUACCUAAUCAGAAAGCCACGGCUAACUACGUG